rnacentral:rRNA from 1 species
GGCGCACGGGUGAGGAACACGUAGCUGAUCGANNCCUCAGUGCGGGANUACGGUUCGAAAGAGCUGGCUAUACCGCAUUAGCUCACGGGCUUUAGAGACCUGUGAGANAAGGCUUGCUGCUGGAGGACGAGGCUGCGGCCCAUCAGCUAGAUGGCGAGGGUACGGCUCACCAUGGCGACGACGGGUAGGGGACCUGAGAGGGUGACCCCCCACACUGGGACUGAGACACGGNCCAGACUCCUACGGGAGGCAGCAGUGAGGGAUCUUGCACAAUGGGCGCAAGCCUGAUGCAGCGACGCCGCGUGAGCGAAGAGGGCCUUCGGGUCGUAAAGCUCUUUUCUGCGUGACGAGACAGGACGGUAGCGCAGGAAGAAGUCUCGGCUAACUACGUGCCAGCAGCCGCGGUAAAACGUAGGAGACAAACGUUAUCCGGAGUUACUGGGCGUAAAAGGGCGUGCAGGCGGCCAUUUAAGUUUCGGGCGUGAAAGCGCCUGGCUAAACCGGGCGAGGUCGUCGGAGACUGGAUGGCUCGAGGGUGAUAGAGGCGGGUGGAAUUCCGGGUGUAGUGGUGAAAUGCGUAGAGAUCCGGAGGAACACCAGUGGCGAAGGCGACCCGCUGGGUCACACCUGACGCUGAGACGCGACAGCAUGGGGAGCGAACGGGUUUAGAAACCCCGGUAGUCCAUGCCGUAAACGAUGCCAACUCGAUGUCUGGGACGGGAAACCGUUCUGGGUAUCCCAGCUAACGCGGUAAGUUGGCCGCCUGGGGAGUACGGUCGCAAGGCUAAAACUCAAAGGAAUUGACGGGGGCCCGCACAAGCAGCGGAGCGUGUGGUUUAAUUCGAGGCUACACGAAAAACCUUACCUGGGUUUGACAUGUCGGUGGUAGGAAACCGAAAGGGGCCCGACCCCGCAAGGGGAGCCGACACAGGUGCUGCAUGGCUGUCGUCAGCUCGUGUCGUGAGAUGUUGGGUUAAGUCCCGCAACGAGCGCAACCCUCGCCCCUAGUUGCCAACGGGUCAAGCCGGGAACUCUAGGGGGACUGCCCCGGUUAACGGGGAGGAAGGUGGGGAUGACGUCAAGUCAUCAUGGCCUUUAUGCCCAGGGCUACACACGUGCUACAAUGGCCGGUACAAAGGGUCGCAAACGCGCGAGCGGGAGCUAAUCCCAAAAAGCCGGUCCCAGUUGGGAUCGCAGUCUGCAACUCGACUGCGUGAACGCGGAAUCGCUAGUAAUCGCGAAUCAGC